UCAGGAAAGAGAAUGAGAAGGCAUGGAUGU
rnacentral:piRNA from 1 species